rnacentral:rRNA from 1 species
UACGUAGGGUGCGAGCGUUAAUCGGAAUUACUGGGCGUAAAGCGUGCGUAGGUGGUGAGUUAAGUCUGUCGUGAAAGCCCCGGGCUCAACCUGGGAAUGGCGAUGGAUACUGGCUCGCUAGAGUGCGGUAGAGGAGAGUGGAAUUCCCGGUGUAGCAGUGAAAUGCGUAGAUAUCUGGAGGAACACCGGUGGCGAAGGCGGCAUCCUGGACCGGUAUUGACGCUGAGGCGCGAAAGCCAGGGGAGCAAACGGGG